rnacentral:rRNA from 1 species
GUAGUCAUAUGCUUGUCUCAAAGAUUAAGCCAUGCAUGUCUAAGUAUAAGCACUUAAACCGUGAAACUGCGAAUGGCUCAUUAAAUCAGCUAUAGUUUAUUUGAUAGUACCUUUACCUGGAUAACUGUGGUAAUUCUAGAGCUAAUACAUGCUAAAAACCUCGACUUCGGAAGGGGUGUAUUUAUUAGAUAAAAAACCAAUGCCCUUCGGGGCUCCUUGGUGAAUCAUAAUAACUUAACGAAUCGCAUGGCCUUGCGCCGGCGAUGGUUCAUUCAAAUUUCUGCCCUAUCAACUUUCGAUUGUAAGGUAGUGGCUUACAAUGGUUUCAACGGGUAACGGGGAAUUAGGGUUCGAUUCCGGAGAGGGAGCCUGAGAAACGGCUACCACAUCCAAGGAAGGCAGCAGGCGCGCAAAUUACCCAAUCCCGAUACGGGGAGGUAGUGACAAUAAAUACUGAUACGGGGCUCUUUCGGGUCUCGUAAUUGGAAUGAGUACAAUCUAAAUCCCUUAACGAGGAACAAUUGGAGGGCAAGUCUGGUGCCAGCAGCCGCGGUAAUUCCAGCUCCAAUAGCGUAUAUUAAAGUUGUUGCCGUUAAAAAGCUCGUAGUUGAACCUUGGACCUGGCCGAUCUGUCCUCCUAACCGAGCGCACGGAUUCGGUCGGGUCUUUCCUUCUGGGGAACCCGAUGCCCUUCACUGGGUGUCGCGGGGAACCAGGACUUUUACCUUGAAAAAAUUAGAGUGUUCAAAGCAGGCCUUUGCUCGAAUACAUUAGCAUGGAAUAAUAAAAUAGGACAUCGGUUCUAUUUUGUUGGUUUCUAGGACCGCUGUAAUGAUAAUAGGGA